rnacentral:rRNA from 1 species
AACGUAGGAUGCGAGCGUUAUCCGGAUUUACUGGGCGUAAAGGGCAAGUAGGCGGUUCUCAAAGUUGGGCGUGACAAAUCUCGGCUUAACUGGGAGGGGUCGUCCAAAACUAGGGGACUAGGGGGCAGGAGAGGGAAGCGGAAUUCCUAGUGUAGCGGUGGAAUGCUCAGAUAUUAGGAAGAACACCAGUGGCGAAGGCGGCUUCCUGGCCUGUACCCGACGCUGAGAGGCGAAAGCUAGGGGAGCGAACGGGCUUAGAUACCCCGGUAGUCCUAGCUGUAAACGUUGGAUACUGGGUAUUGGGGGUGUCAAAACCCUCAGUGCCGAAGCUAACGCGUCAAGUAUCCCGCCUGGGGACUACGGCCGCAAGGUUAAAACUCAAAGGAAUUGACGGGGGCCCGCACAAACAGCGGAGCGUGUGGUUUAAUUCGAUGCGACACGAAGAACCUUACCUGGGCUUGACAUGUAUGUAGUAGGGAACUGAAAGGGGACCGACCCUUCGGGGAGCAUACACAGGUGCUGCAUGGCUGUCGUCAGCUCGUGCCGUGAGGUGUUGGGUUAAGUCCCACAACGAGCGCAACCCUUGCUGCCAAUUAGAGCUUUCUGGCGGGACUGCCGGCAUAUAACCGGAGGAAGGUGGGGAUGACGUCAAGUCAGCAUGGCCUUUAUGUCCAGGGCUACACACACGCUACAAUGGUCGGUACAGAGGGGAGCGAAGUCGCGAGGCGGAGCAAAUCUCAAAAAGCCGAUCCCAGUUCAGAUUGUAGGCUGCAACCCGCCUACAUGAAGUCGGAGUUGCUAGUAACCGCAGGUCAGCGAUACUGCGGUGAAUACGUUCCCGGGCCUUGUACACACCGCCCGUCACGUCAUGGGAGCUGGUAAUACCUAAAGUCGGUGCGUUGACCGGAAGGGGACAGCCGCCUAGGGUAGGGCCAGUAACUGGGACG